rnacentral:rRNA from 1 species
UACAGAGACUGCAAGCGUUAUUCGGAUUCACUGGGCGUAAAGGGUGCGCAGGCGGCCGAGUGUGUGAGGCGUGAAAGCCUGGAGCUCAACUCCAGAAUUGCACCUCAAACUACACGGCUAGAGCAUUGGAGAGGGUAGCGGAAUUCACGGUGUAGCAGUGAAAUGCGUAGAUAUCGUGAGGAACACCAGAGGCGAAGGCGGCUACCUGGACAAUUGCUGACGCUCAGGCACGAAAGCGUGGGGAGCAAAAGGG